rnacentral:rRNA from 1 species
AUCAACGCUGGCGGCGCGCUUAAACACAUGCAAGUCGAACGAGAAAGCAGGAGCAAUCCUGUGAGUACAGUGGCGUACGGGUGAGUAACACGUGGAUUAUCUGCCCUGGAGUGGGGAAUAACGCUGGGAAACCGGCGCUAAUACCGCAUAUUCCCGAGAGGGGAAAGCAGCAAUGCGCUCGAGGAGGAGUCCGCGGCUGAUUAGCUAGUUUGGUAGGGUAACGGCCUACCAAGGCUAUGAUCGGUAGCCGGCCUGAGAGGGCACACGGCCACACUGGCACUGAAACACGGGCCAGACUCCUACGGGAGGCAGCAGUGGGGAAUCUUGCACAAUGGGGGCAACCCUGAUGCAGCGACGCCGCGUGAGCGAUGAAGCCCUUCGGGGUGUAAAGCUCUUUCGGCAGGGAAGAUAAUGACGGUACCUGCAGAAGCAGCUGCGGCUAACUACGUGCCAGCAAGCCGCGGUAAUACGUAGGCAGCGAAGCGUUGUUCGGAGUUACUGGGCGUAAAGGGUGUGUAGGCGGCUUUUUAAGUUUGGUGCUGAAAUCUCCCGGCUCAACUGGGAGGGUGCGCCGAAGACUGAGGGGACUUAGGAGUGCGGGAUGAGGAGAGUAGGAAUUCCUGGUGUAGCGGUGAAAUGCGUAGAUAUCAGGAGGAACUACCUGUGGUGUAGACGGCUCUCUGGACCGUAACUGACGCUGAGACACGAAAGCGUGGGUAGCAAACAGGAUUAGAUACCCUGGUAGUCCACGCCCUAAACGAUGCAUAUUUGGUGUAGGUCAUUUCAGUCUGAUCCUGUGCCGGAGCUAACGCGUUAAAUAUGCCGCCUGGGGAGUACAGUCGCAAGGCUGAAACUCAAAGGAAUUGACGGGGGCCCGCACAAGCGGUGGAGCAUGUGGUUCAAUUCGACGCAACGCGAAGAACCUUACCUGGGCUCGAACGGCUGGUCACGAACGACUGUGGAAACACGGUUUACCCCGCAAGGGACGGGUCCAGUCGAGGUGCUGCAUGGCUGUCGUCAGCUCGUGUCGUGAGAUGUUGGGUUAAGUCCCGCAACGAGCGCAACCCUUAUUGCCAGUUGCCAUCAUUUAGUUGGGCAACUCUGGCAGGAAGACCGCCCCGGAUAAGCGGGAGGAAGGUGGGGAUGACGUCAAGUCCUCAUGGCCUUUAUGUCCAGGGCUACACACGUGCUACAAUGGAUCGGUACAAAAGCCGUCGCCAAACCCGCGAAGGGGGGAGCCUAAUCGGAAAAAAACCGUCCUCAGUUCGGAUUGAAGGCUGCAACUCGACUUGCAUGAAGCUGGAAUCGCUAGUAAUGCGCGUAUCAGAACGCCUGGCGGUGAAUACGUUCCCGGGCCUUGUACACACCGCCCGUCACAUCACGAAAGUGGGCUGUACUAGAAGUCCUGGGGGCUGACCCGCAAGGGGAAGCAGCCGGUCCCAAGGUAUGAACUCAUGAUUGGGGUG